rnacentral:rRNA from 1 species
GUCUACGGCCAUGCCAACCCUGGACACACCCGAUCUCGUCUGAUCUUGGAAGCCAAGCAGGUGGGAGCCUAAUGCGUUAGUCCUUGGCUGGGGGAGUAGCUGAGCACA